UACGGGGGGGGCAAGCGUUGUUCGGAAUUACUGGGCGUAAAGGGCGCGUAGGCGGUUCUUUAAGUUGGAUGUGAAAACUCUGGGCUUAACCCAGAGCCUGCAUUCAAAACUGAUGGGCUGGAGUUCUGGAGGGGAUAGCGGAAUUCCUGGUGUAGCGGUGAAAUGCGUAGAUAUCAGGAGGAACACCGGUGGCGAAGGCGGCUAUCUGGACAGAAACUGACGCUGAGGCGCGAAAGCUAGGGGAGCAAACAGG
rnacentral:rRNA from 1 species